rnacentral:lncRNA from 1 species
UACAUGAUCAAUGUCACAGAUUCAUAAUCACAUAUCACAAAUUUAUUUACUGGUCACAUAUCAUCAAAUUAAUUAGUUACAGAUUAUUUCAUGGUCACAAAUCAAAAAUUUUCUAGGUCACGUAUUAUUUCAAGGUCACAGAUCAUUUAAAUUACAUGUCACAUAGGUCACAAAUUAUUUUUUAGUCACAGACACCUAAUAUUUAGUUACAAAUUAGCCAAAUAGUUGAUCACAUACACCUAAUUGUUGGUCACAGACACCCCCACCCCAUCACCAUCGUCUACCACCUCCACCACCAUCGAUCGCCGCAACCACUUUUGACACUUCCACCUCCACCUCCAUCUGCACCACCACACAAAAACCCCUGCCAGUUCCACCAUCGCCACCACCAGCAGCUCAACCACCACGUACAUCCCUACUGCAUCCUGCUCCAACAACCAACCACCACCUCCGCCUCCAAUCAACCAAUCCACCACCGCUGCAUGCUAAAAUCCACCACAACACCACAGCUACCACCCCAACAACAAAAUCAUCAAAUCCGCCACCGCAACCAACGUCACCACCUCAAAAUUACCGCCAACAUCCCCACCAAUAUUACAACCACCAACCAACAAACAUUGUCAACCAAAAUAAUGUACAACCCGAUCCAAAAUCAGAGUCGUAAAGCCACCACCACUCUUGUGAACACAACCACUAGAUCUACCAACACUCUCCAAAUAGCUACCACCAUAACCUCCUCAAAUCGGAAAGAGAAAGAACCCCAAAUUUUAAUCACAUUUUAAUAGUUAUCCAGAAAGAACCAAAUAUUUGAUCAUAUUACCACCACCAACACUACCGCCGCCACGCCCAUGGCCACUUGCGACCAUUACCUCCAACACAAUCCAAUAACUCAACCAUCAUCAACACAUCUCCAUCGCCAACAAUACAAACAGAGCACAACCCCAACAACCCACUGUCACCGACCAUAUUACUCCCGGCAGUGACCUAGUUACAGCAACGCAAACUAUGCAUCGACUUUGGACCAAAUAUUGUUCAGAUCUGAAAUCAUGGCCCCAGUUUUGGUUUCAAAUCUCAGGGCAGUACAAGGAGUAUGAGGUGGGAACAACGAUUCACUGUGAAUGGAUGCGAUCCGCCACAUUGAACUUACUCCUACCCUCUACGGUACCCCAUUCCAUCAAAGAACUUAUAGAAGCGUUGCCUUGCUGAGCUUCAGAGUCCUGCCUCCAUGCACAGAGGCGUAGUGCUGCAGCCGUGUGAGGUGGCGCUGCGCAUCGAAUGCCGUAAUGUGAUGGUGACUUUGGGGGAGGGGUGGAUGGUUGUGGUGAAAUGGGUUUGGGGGUGGAGGAGGGCGAGGGAGAGGGGGAGGGGGAGGGGGAAAUGGUGGAGGAGAAAUGCCUAAUGUGAUGAUUUUUUCUCAUUUAUGGUAUAUGACAGCAAUGAGG